rnacentral:lncRNA from 1 species
CAUCCCAUCAAAGAUCGCACCUUUCCCUUGCUCAAAGCACCAGAGCGCACAAAAACCCAACAAACCCUAUCCCACGGUGUCGAAGUGGGAAAUGGAAAGGUACUCCUUACACCUUUAAUCACUCUGCCUCCAUCGAAGACAGACCUUUUGCCAUUGGAAGCUUUGCUGCAAACGUGAGCUUUCUCCAAUUUGGAUUUCGCUUCUCCCUGUCUUGUUCUGCUCAGUGACCUCUCCUUGUUACUCUCGCAGGCUUAUAUCCUGCCGGUAGAGGAGGAUAGAGAGAGAAGACAUGAAGGCACAAAGACGAUGGAAAAGAGAGCUAUAUGAGAGAGAGAGAGAGAGAAGAAGCGUGUCGAGUCAUUAACCACCGCCCCGAACUAUAUAGAGCUGAGAAGGAAGCAAAAGGAAAGCAGAGCACAUUCCAAUCCACCGUUUCUUUAUUCCAUGAGAUGGUUCCCUUUUAACAGUUCUUUUACUUGUUUAUGGGACUGUUUAACUUUGGGUUUGUGGUUGCAUUGUGGGAUACUAAUCACAGCUUUGGGCUCUCACCCUAAUAUGCGAUUUGUAUAUUAAACAUGCGAUUUGUAUUGAGUAAAACUAGUAUUCAUCAAUUAAACACAGGUUGAGUCUCACAAUAUCAAUGCAGAACACAAAGCAAUCACGAAAUAACUUAAAUAUCGGAGGGGAAAAUAUUAUCAUUUUAUAUACUAAUUUUU